rnacentral:ncRNA from 1 species
ACUGUGAAACUGCGAAUGGCUCAUUAAAUCAGUUAUAGUUUAUUUGAUGUUUCUUGCUACAUGGAUAACUGUGGUAAUUCUAGAGCUAAUACAUGCGUAAAAAGCCCCGACUUCUGGAAGGGGUGUAUUUAUUAGAUAAAAACCAUCCUCCUCGGAGUUUGGUGAUUCAUAAUAACUUCUCGAAUCGCACGGCCUUGUGCUGGCGAUGCUUCAUUCAAAUAUCUGCCCUAUCAACUGUCGAUGGUAGGAUAGAGGCCUACCAUGGUUGCAACGGGUAACGGGGAAUAAGGGUUCGAUUCCGGAGAGGGAGCCUGAGAAACG